rnacentral:sRNA from 1 species
ACCACGGCAGCCCAGCCAUGUUGACUUUCUGACCCUGAACAGCAACACCUUGUCAUGAUAUUAUGACAAUGUCACCAAAUUAUUUGUCGAUACGAGUAAUGUUUUUAGCACAUCAACUUUUGAAGGUUUAUAGCAGGUAAUUGAAUGGUUUGCAUGUAAAUCCUCUGAUUCGUCCAAUUAAACCAUAGAACUAUGUUCUCGCAACACAAUACUUGACGAAGACUAACAUGUAUUUUACAGGUGGUAUCCUCGGGAUAUCAAUUCCAAUGGCACAAACUCCAUGUUGAAAUGGUCGACCGCACGAAUAUCAGCUGGAUGGACGUGCACUUGGAAAUUCUCAAGGGAUUACAUUACUUUCGUAGAUAACAAUGGAUAGCUUAUUCAUACCCUGAUUUCUAUUUGAUACUGAGUUUAUAUAUCAAAUAACUACCGGCGCUAGUUUUAUUCAAUUCCACCUAAAAAGUUCCAAAAACUACUGAUCCUACAGUCAUGACCUCGUCUGCCGCAAUUCAAUUGUUAAUGGCCAAACACAAACUGGUUGUUGUAUCUAUACUUGUAAGCUCACCAGGCUGUAGUCAGGAUGGUUUUCAAUUGUUAUUUUCUAGAUAUCAUUUUAGUGGAAAUUCUAGCAUAAGUUAGAGAUGUACGGAUGAGGCUCUUCACCAAGUGAAGGCCAGUUGUAUGAUAGACACAGCCAGACAAUUAUUAUUGCGAAUACUCUUGCAGCUUUAAUAUAGCCG